rnacentral:ncRNA from 1 species
GAGAGCACAGUACAAUGAAAGUUGUACGCUGUGCUCGCGGGGGAGUUAUUGUAUAUCGUUGGCCUCUAUGGUAGAAUCAGUCGGGAAGGCCCGAGAGGCGGUGGUUUACCCUGU